rnacentral:rRNA from 1 species
AUUGAACGCUGGCGGCAGGCCUAACACAUGCAAGUCGAGCGGAGCGGCGGACGGGCGAGUAAUGCCUAGGAAUCUGUCUGGUAGUGGGGGAUAACGUCCGGAAACGGGCGCUAACACCUCAUACUAUCAGAUGAGCCUAUGUCGGAUUAGCUAGUUGGUGGGGUAAAGGCUUACCAAGGCGACGAUCCGUAACUGGUCUGAGUGGAUGAUCGGUCACACGGGAACUGAGACACGGUCCAGACUCCUACGGGAGGCAGCAGUGGGGAAUAUUGGACAAUGGGCGAAAGCCUGAUGCAGACAUGCCGCGUGUGUGAAGAAGGUCUUCGGAUUGUAAAGCACUUUAAGUUGGGAGGCGUUACCAACAGAAUAAGCACCGGCUAACUUCGUGCCAGCAGCCGCGGUAAUAC